UCGAUGACUUGCAACGUUUGUAACACGUUGGUUAGGCUACUGGAGCUGUGGACGACUCUGAGAGGUGAAGCAAUUCAGUUUUGAAGCUUUGUCUCCUAUUUCAUGUUUUUUGUUAAGUUUUAGAUCUGAGCAAGUGAUUUGAGGGCGACACUGGAUAUCAAAAACAUUUUUUUUUCACUACAGUUUUUUUUAAGUGAUGUGUAAAGAAGUUAUGGAAGUGAGAGAAGAGAAAAGUAUGCUCCGUCACUCUUCGAUAAAGGAGAUGGGUCUGAAAUCCAAAAAGAACGUUUUUCGGGCAAGGUUUAACGUAAAAACCGCCCGCAGCUACCUCGUCGAAAAAAAGGGGAAUCUUCAUCUGUCCAAGAAGUUUGGACAAUUGAACAGUGGCAAGGAAAGGCAGGUAGGCCCAAAACCUGUAUCAUGUCCUGUCGACUUGAAGAAGAAGAAGGCCCAGACAACAGCUGUUUCGGGAGCAAUGGCACCGAGAAACACGACACAGUACAUCAUGGAUCGCAUAUAUGAAGAUAUGUGUUACGACAGGUUAAAGCAAGUGAAUUCAUCGUCGUUACAAUCUGCUGAGCGUUACUUUCAUUUGGACGACGGAACACAAAUUCCGGUUCACACGUCAUCACAGCCUGCUUUCGAAAGGACUCUAGACUUUCUACAGAGGGAUUUCGAGAAUGUUGUGUUUUGGAACGAAAUCUGAGGCACAGACUGGUCUGAGCUGAACGGGACAUGGAAGUGUAGGCCUUCUCGGCCAACAGACGUUGACAGUGAGCAAAAGGCCAAAGACAGAGUGCAAAUUGAUGCACCGACGCUGUCCAAACGUAAGGGGGAGCAAUCCGCUUAACCCUACCGUUACAGCUGCGCACUUGGGAGCCUGAGCUGAGCUCCGCCAUGACCAUCGACCGUGGUCUUCAGGUAAACCUGUCUUCUCGUGAGGUAUACGUGGCAUGUUCUAACAACCCUGUCUUGGUAACAGUGUUUUCAAGAUGUAAGACUUAUCAAGGGUGUAAAGUUACUGUCUUAUUACAUGGUACAGACUUGGCUAUGGUUGCAACUGUUGUCAGAGACUUUUUCAGGUCACCCGCUUCGCCGACCCUCGGCUGGUUCACAGCAGCGCAAUCUGAGCCUCAGCAACGUAAGACCCAACAUGUUGGUAACUCGCCCUCCAUUUCCAUCGUUAUAUCCUGAGCCUCACAAAGGUUGUUGGCUACCACUGCAGUAUAGGCCUUCACUCUUAUACGGACGAGUAUGUGACUGCAAAUGUGUUUGAAUAUGUGAUGUGGUUGAAUGUGUGAAUGGAAAAUAAAGAUAUAUAAUUUGUUGAA